rnacentral:rRNA from 1 species
GUGAACGCUGGCGGUAGGCCUAACACCUGCCAGUCGAACGGCAGCACAGUAAGAGCUUGCUCUUACGGGUGGCGAGUGGCGGACGGGUGAGGAAUACAUCGGAAUCUACUUUUUCGUGGGGGAUAACGUAGGGAAACUUACGCUAAUACCGCAUACGACCUACGGGUGAAAGCAGGGGAUCUUCGGACCUUGCGCGAUUGAAUGAGCCGAUGUCGGAUUAGCUAGUUGGCGGGGUAAAGGCCCACCAAGGCGACGAUCCGUAGCUGGUCUGAGAGGAUGAUCAGCCACACUGGAACUGAGACACGGUCCAGACUCCUACGGGAGGCAGCAGUGGGGAAUAUUGGACAAUGGGCGCAAGCCUGAUCCAGCCAUACCGCGUGGGUGAAGAAGGCCUUCGGGUUGUAAAGCCCUUUUGUUGGGAAAGAAAAGCAGCAGGUUAAUACCCCGCUGUUCCGACGGUACCCAAAGAAUAAGCACCGGCUAACUUCGUG